rnacentral:rRNA from 1 species
CUCUUCCGAUCUCUCAGAUUGAACGCUGGCGGUAGGCUUAACACAUGCAAGUCGUGCGAGAAAGUAUCUUCGGAUAUGAGUAGAGCGGCGGACGGGUGAGUAACGCGUAGGAAUCUACCUAGUAGAAGGGGAUAGCCCGGGGAAACCCGGAUUAAUACCGUAUACCUCCUUCGGGAGAAAGAAGGCCUCUCUUUGAAGCUUUCGCUACUAGAUGAGCCUGCGUAAGAUUAGCUUGUUGGUGAGGUAAAGGCUCACCAAGGCUACGAUCUUUAGCGGGUCUGAGAGGACGAUCCGCCACAUUGGGACUGAGACACGGCCCAGACUCCUACGGGAGGCAGCAGUGGGGAAUAUUGGACAAUGGGCGAAAGCCUGAUCCAGCCAUACCGCGUGUGUGAAGAAGGCCCUAGGGUUGUAAAGCACUUUAAGUUGGGAAGAAAAGUUAUUGGUUAAUACCCAAUGACCGUGACAUUACCAUCAGAAUAAGGACCGGCUAAUUCCGUGCCAGCAGCCGCGGUAAUACGGAAGGUCCAAGCGUUAAUCGGAAUUACUGGGCGUAAAGCGCGCGUAGGUGGUUUAUUAAGUUGGGUGUGAAAUCCCCGGGCUCAACCUGGGAACUGCAUCCAAAACUGAUUCACUAGAGUACGAUAGAGGGAGGUAGAAUUCACAGUGUAGCGGUGGAAUGCGUAGAUAUUGUGAAGAAUACCAAUGGCGAAGGCAGCCUCCUGGAUCUGUACUGACACUGAGGUGCGAAAGCGUGGGUAGCGAACAGGAUUAGAUACCCUGGUAGUCCACGCCGUAAACG